AACGGUCUAUACCUGCGGUACCUGCGGAAGGAUCAUUAAUGAAAUGCAAGGACGCUCUUUUUAGAGGUCCGACCCCUUUCAUUUUCCUUACACUGUGAACCAAUAUUUUUACACCAUUUUUAAACGCAUGAGUCUAAGAAUGUCACAAGUCUCUUAACAGAGCAUAAAACUUGUAAAAACUUUCAACAAUGGAUCUCU
rnacentral:misc_RNA from 1 species